AUUGAACGCUGGCGGAAUGCUUUACACAUGCAAGUCGAACGGCAGCACGGGGGCAGCCCUGGUGGCGAGUGGCGAACGGGUGAGUAAUACAUCGGAACGUGCCCGGUCGUGGGGGAUAACGUAGCGAAAGUUACGCUAAUACCGCAUACGAUCUGAGGAUGAAAGCGGGGGACCUUCGGGCCUCGCGCGAUCGGAGCGGCCGAUGUCAGAUUAGGUAGUUGGUGGGGUAAAGGCCUACCAAGCCGACGAUCUGUAGCUGGUCUGAGAGGACGACCAGCCACACUGGGACUGAGACACGGCCCAGACUCCUGCGGGAGGCAGCAGUGGGGAAUUUUGGACAAUGGGCGCAAGCCUGAUCCAGCCAUUCCGCGUGCAGGACGAAGGCCUUCGGGUUGUAAACUGCUUUUGUACGGAACGAAAAGGCUCUGGCUAAUACCUGGGGCUCAUGACGGUACCGUAAGAAUAAGCACCGGCUAACUACGUG
rnacentral:rRNA from 1 species